UCAGGAGGCUCUGGAGGAAGGAGGGCAGAGGGCCAGGGGAUCAGUGGCACAGCCUAGGUAGACAGUUGGGACUAUUACCUAAUGUUCCUGUCACUGUUGAGUAGGAAGCGACCAAGAAUGUUGACAGCUAGAACCUAUGAGAGGCAGAAGUUGGGGUCAGUCGGAAAGGAGCAACCUGCUCAGCCAUUGAGGACUGGGAACACAUUGGCGCAAGAUGAUGGGGCUAGGAGGGAGAAACCAGCAAGCAGGACCUGUGUGGGUGAGGUGGUGGGCGGGGCCGUAGUGGGAGAGGCAUAAGGGGUGAUACCCGUAGGCCAGCUGCAGAGCGGAUAUCCAUGAUGGGUCUCACUCUGUCGCCCAAAGCUCACUGCAGCCUUGACCUCCCAGGCUCUGAUGAUCCUCCUGCCUCAGCCUCCUGAGUGGCUGGGACUACAGGCACAUGCCAACAAGCCCAGGUCCUGGGAUGACCCGAGCAAUCCUGUGCCUGCUACUCUGCUGCCCAGGACACUGAGAGAACCAGUGUUCUCUGGGAGGAAACCACUGGUCAUGGUCUUACUGCUAUGCCCUCUCUGAUCCAGGGAUACAGCAGUGAAAGGUCACCCCACCUGCAGGAAGGGGUCGCUGACUCCAGAUAUGCUGUGUUCUGUGGAGUAUCCCAUUGUCACCAGAGUCCGGAGGAUGUGUACCAGCUGGGGUACCACCUGGAGGGAGGGCACAACUUUGGGCAUUCGUUCUAAUCCUCUCCAGCUAAAGCCCCAUUCCUUCCCCACUGACCCUGUCUUCCAGGCCCAGGGCCUGCCCCUUCACCAGCCCACCUUUCGGAAGUGCCUGAGGGCUGCAGGGCUUCGUUCGCAGAGCUCCGUGAUCAGCGUGAUGGUGCCCAGCAGGAUGCCUGGGGUCAGCGUCGGGGAAGUGAAUGGUGGGGGCCAGGGGCAAGAGAGUCUAUUGCGUGUGUGCCUGUGUGUGUGCACUACCCUUCUCCUGUGAGCUGGGGUUCCCAUCCGAUUUUCAAUUCUUCUGUCCAUAGACCUGAAGCAAAGGAUGGGGGGCCCCACAGCCUUACCAUGGUGACGCUCAUGAAGCAGUUGGGCACAGGGUGGGAGGAAGACACUGGAGAGUUCAGGGACCUUCCGGAUCAUGUGCACUGCAGUCAGAAUAGCCUGCAGAGGUCAGGGGCCUCAGACAGGGGUCAGAGGAGAUGGACCCCUGCAUCUACUACUAUAUAGCACGCAGCAGGCAGUGUGCAGGAGCACGUGCCAGGAGUCCCGCCAUCUCACCUUCUUGCGCACGUAGGGACUGGGCUGCAGGAGCAGUUUCUCCACCUCUGGGGCCAGGUCUCGGCACAUCUCAGCAGAGCCCAUGGUGCUCAAAGUGCACAAGGCCAGGCCUUGUACUGGCUGAAUCCCCUGGCUCAGGUCACUGCAGGGUUUGGGAGGACGGUCAGUCAAACCUCUGAGAAAAUCAGUCCUUUUCAAUACCCACAACAGGCAGUCCCCUGGGAUUUCCAAGGUCCCUACUCUCCCAUCUCCCUGAUUCCAAGUGAUUGCCAGAACCCUCUCACUUCUUGAUGCUGUUGGUAAUGAGCAGGUGGGCAUCGUGCCUCUCAUCCAAUAGAAGCAUGGCCCCCAGGUAGCCCACCCUCUUGUCUGUGAAUCUGGAGGAGGCGAUCAGUUUCAGGCACUCCAUCUAUAGUGAAGGGGGCAGACCAGGAAGAGGCAGGGGUGAAACCAUAGACACUCACAUCCCUGUUCCAUCUUCCUCUUUAAAACCAGAUUAACCUGUGGGGCAUCAUAUCUCAUCACUCUCCCUUCAACAAGAGGAGAAGCUUAGGAAAUUCAGGCGUUAGUGGGUAGGAGGAACUAGGAGUUGAGGAGGAUGGGAGCGGAGAGGAGGAGAUGCCUGCCCUAAAGGAGGCUGGCCAGAGAAUGAAGGGUUCAGGCCAGCUGAUGACCAGUAGGGGUAGCAAUGGGGAAAGAGGUUUGCAGUGCAGGCUGUGAAGACUCUGAAAUUGUAGAAUUUAAAAAACCAGGGCAUAAACAGGUGAGAGAGUCUGGGACUCUGCCCCACUAGCCUUCAUCAAGCUCAGGAGGGAGGUAUUCCUGGCCAGUACCUGUCCAAAGUGGGCGGGGUAGCCCAACAUGUGGACGUAGAGCAGUUUGGCCAGCUGCCGGUGCCUGUGCACUGGGUCCCCGUCGCGGAAGGAGGCCCGGAUGUGGGCACACUCCUUUUGGAUCACCUCCCGCUCCUGGGCCUGAGUCUUGGCCCCGCGAAUCUCUUCGAUGAGGUCCUGAAGCUUCAGCGAAGGCACCACCAUCCUGACUGGCAGAGUCCGGGAGUGGAGAAACACUCUCUGGUCGGGCGUGCCUGGGCUUUCGGCCCAGGCCCGUCCUGUGUCAAGACCCUAAGAGCCCGGGUCCCACAGGCAGCGGCAGCGGCAGCGACAGCCUGCCUACCCCAGGACUCCAGCCUCACCUGGCUUCUGCCUCAACUCCGCUCCUCUGCCCCCCAGCGCUUCCUGGCUUUAGCGGAGAGACAGCAUGAUAGGCCUGGAGUUCUUCAAGAGGCCUCCUCGCACAUCCUUACCACCCGGAGAGCCUCAGUUUGGAUUUGAAGCCAUCGCACCCCAAAGGAGAUGACAAUCCCCC
rnacentral:lncRNA from 1 species